rnacentral:ncRNA from 1 species
AACUACUAGGGGUGCCCAUGGCGUGGGCUGAGAGAAAAACGAUCCUUUUUUAACCCUUCGGACCUGAUCUGGAUUAUACCAGCGUAGGAAAGUAGUC